rnacentral:misc_RNA from 1 species
UGCUUUCCUUCUCCGCGUAUACGCAAGUAGGCACGCGCAUGCAUAUCGACAUCACACUACACGACAGCCAAAGAAGAAACACACACAUGAGUGACUUAGCCUCUGGGAGCAGUCGCCGCCCGCGCGCGGCGGGGCCGCUUCUCGCCGCCGGUAUCUUGCUGCUUGCAUUAUUGACGGUGAUGUGCGCGCCGGUGAGUGCUGAAGUGGUUGUGGCGCCGCUCUGCGCCGAGAAACACGGCUUCGCUGGUGAGUUCAAUGACCACUACACCAUCCCGGUGGAGCAGGCACCAGCAGCUGGCGAGGCAAUCGUCCUGAUUGCACGUGCCUUCCCCCUCAAUCUUGGUAACAUGCUGGCGCGGUGGCUGUAUAUCAAUGCAACUUACCGAAUCUCAGAAGGGGCGCAGCUCACGGAAGUGUCGGACAACAACGGCAUUUUGGAGCUCGCGAACGUAGCGGCUGGAACGGACAUUGAGGUGCGUGUGAUGCGUGUGCGCACCGACGGCCCGACCCCGUUUCGAUUUUUUAGCUUCUUUGCGAACAGCCCCGUCUGCCACGUGGCGGUUGCGCCGGACAACAGCUUUAUCGCUCCUGUGCCGCACAGGCUUCGUGCCACGCCGCAGCUGCCUCUGACCAUGUACUUCAAGGCGGUGCUGCCGCCGAACGUGAAUGCGCUCAUCAUUCGUGUCAGCGCCGACGGCCGUACUGACGAAAAGUUCAGAUCAGGGGAUAAGGUUUACGCAUCCGGCGACCUUGUGCGCGCUGCCAGCGGGGGCGCCGUGUUAUUCGCGUACACCUUUCCGAUGGAGAAUGCGGCCACACCGUACUACUUUACCCAGGUGUCUGUGAGCUACGGGGAGUGGGAAGGAGGUGACGCGGCGAAGCCGAGCGCGUCGAACACAUCCAGCAGUGGUGGCGACAGCAAAGACACCAUGCAGCCGACGCGGUCCACGCCGGUGCUGCGAAGGCUGCUGCUGAUUUCUUUGUUUCUGUUUCUCCUAUAUCAAGCGGCAGUGUCUGCGCACAACUAUUACGUUCUCGGCAAGCGUGACGUAAUGGACAUUGUUCCAUGCGCCAAGUCAGCGGCGGCAGGCGCGCGGACGGCGCAGCUUGUCACCUUGCGGUUUAUGGGCAUGUCGCAGCGACACAAGGAGGGGUAUAACUCUUUACAGAAUCCGGACGAUCCCUACUCGUGAGCGAUGAGCUACCGGGAAGCGUUUGUGUACGGACGCUGGUGCACGCCGAGAGAUACAGAUGCACCCCUCCACCCCGCUUCACACGCACAUGCGCAGAGGAGGGGAAUCUGCGGACUAUGUGUAUUCCACCACAUGUGCUCUACUUUUUUUUCAGGUGAGGUGUGCUGGCCGUCUCACACCUCACCCGUCUCUCACUCAACAUCAGCAUAUUAAGAAC